rnacentral:lncRNA from 1 species
AUUGUUAUGACUCCAGCGGGCUACCAUACAGUGAGACUGUUGGCUGAGUGAGCAGUGUUUCUGAGCAGAAUGUUACUACAUUUGACUUACAGGCUGCUGGUAUUUCCAUCUCUCUUGGAUCUACCCUCCUUUUCCUAGUUAAUAUAGUCCCCAGAGUUGGAGAGUUCUCUUCUCUUCUCAAGAUUGCCUGUUUAUGCAAAUGAAUGCAACCAGGCUUAUAGCAAGGCUGGCUAUUCUCAUAGCCCUAGGUGCUGAACUGCCUCAAAGCUACACAAGCAGAAUUAUGACAGGGUGUACAAGCUACUGAGUGUCCAAGGAACGGCAGUAACUCCAAUAUUGAUGGAUUGUCUUUAAGCAAGGGAAGAAGCUGGAUAGAACUUCUGGCUGAUGCAGGGGAAGGUGAAUGAACAUGACAGGAUGUCUGGAGCCACGGCCUGGGAGGACAUAAAGCACAGCAACAGGGAACCUUGGAGACAAGACCAGCAAACUUACAGAUGGGCUGCUUGUGGAGAAGAUGUACUUUGAGGCUUGCACUGUGGGAAGUUUCUACUGACCUAUCUUCAAAUUCUCCUGGUUGUUUUCUUAGCCAACUCUACUCUGUUGAUGAAACCAUUGAAGAUGCUCUUCAUUUUGGUUACUAAGCCACCUAGUUUGGCAGUGCUUUGUUGGAGCAAUCCUGAGACACUAAUAUGAGACAAGCAAAAACAGCAACAAUCACAAGUUCAUCCAGGAAUAACAACUGCUGUGCAGAGGUUGGUGCUUGGUGGAUAAUGAUAAUAACACAUGACAUGGAGAGAAGCCACUAAUUUCAAAGAGCAUCCAGAGAUACACUCACUGAGCUGGGUCUGAAAGGUUGGCUGUGAAGGAAGGUGAAAGCAACGAAGCUUUUAUGCUUAACCAUGUAUCUCUCACCUUGCUCAGAUUCAACUCAGGAUGCAGCCCAGGAAAUUGACCUAGCACAUGUACUGGCUUGCAAGGAUCUGUACAUUACAGUGAGCAAGUGGGAAGGGACACGUAUCUGAUUCCUUGUAGUUCCAAGAUAUGUGGUGAAGUGAAAAAGACAUGAGAAGGUGGAUCACAGUGUUGUGACGCCUGCUGCAAUCCCAGCUACUCAGGAUGCUGAGACAGGAGGAUUGCCAGUUCAAGCCUAGUCUGGGCAAUUUAGUAACACUGUGUCUGAAAAUAAAAGGAAAAA